CCCGCGGGGCUCCGGGCGGCCGUGACCCUGCUGGAGUCCGGGGGGGACCUCCAGCCCCCCGGGGGGUCCCUGCGCCUCCUCUGCCGCGCCUCGGGGUUCACUUUCGGCAGUUUUUACAUGUACUGGGUGCGCCAGAGACCCGGGCAGGCGCUGGAGUGGCUCGCAGGGAUCAGCUAUGGUGGUGGCAGCACCGCGUACGCGCCGUCGGUGAAGGGCCGGGUGACGAUCUCCAGGGACAACGGGCAGAGCUCGGUGACGCUGACCAUGAACGGCCUCAAGGACGAGGAUUCCGGCUCCUAUUUCUGUGCCAAAACCACGGUCACUGGUAACGUUAACCCUGCUGAUGAUUUUGGC